AUUGAACGCUGGCGGCAUGCUUUACACAUGCAAGUCGAACGGUAACAGGGUGCUUGCACCGCUGACGAGUGGCGAACGGGUGAGUAAUGCGUCGGAACGUGCCGAGUAGUGGGGGAUAACGCAGCGAAAGUUGUGCUAAUACCGCAUACGUACUGAGGUAGAAAGUGGGGGACCUUCGGGCCUCACGCUAUUCGAGCGGCCGACGUCUGAUUAGCUAGUAGGUGAGGUAAAGGCUCACCUAGGCGAUGAUCAGUAGCGGGUCUGAGAGGAUGAUCCGCCACACUGGGACUGAGACACGGGCCAGACUCCUACGGGAGGCAGCAGUGGGGGAUUUUGGACAAUGGGCGAAAGCCUGAUCCAGCCAUGCCGCGUGUCUGAAGAAGGCCUUCGGGUUGUAAAGGACUUUUGUCAGGGAGGAAAUCCCUAGUGCUAAUAACACUGGGGGAUGACAGUACCUGAAGAAUAAGCACCGGCUAACUACGUGCCAGCCGCCGCAGUAA
rnacentral:rRNA from 1 species